rnacentral:rRNA from 1 species
CUACUGAGGGUGCAAGCGUUAAUCGGAAUUACUGGGCGUAAAGCGCACGUAGGCGGUUUAUUAAGUCAGAUGUGAAAGCCCUGGGCUUAACCUGGGAACUGCAUUUGAGACUGGUAGGCUAGAGUACGGUAGAGGAUAGUGGAAUUCCGGGUGUAGCGGUGAAAUGCGUAGAUAUCCGGAGGAACAUCAGUGGCGAAGGCGGCUAUCUGGACCAAUACUGACGCUGAGGUGCGAAAGCGUGGGGAGCAAACAGGAUUAGAUACCCUAGUAGUCC